rnacentral:tmRNA from 1 species
GGGGAUGACAGGCUUCGACGGGAGAGGCUGGGCCCGGAUUGCGAGCCGAGAGGUGCCGACCUCGAAAAAUCAGCACAAAACAUUAAGUGCCAACCGCACUUCCUUUGCUGCAAUGCCCCUCGCCGCCUAAGGCAGUGGCUAGCGCAAUGACCUCUUGACGAGGUCACGUCUGCCCACCCCGCUCCCUGACCGGAGGUGGAGCGGGCGUCACAAAGCCAGGGUGCCGUGCAGGCGGGCCGCGUCCUGCAUGAAUAGAGGGCUUUCGGGUCCAAGCGGCUGGCCGGGAUCUGGUCCGUUGGUUUUCCCUGUCCUGCGUGAGAUCAAAGACCAACUACGCUCGUAGAUAUCCGUGGAACUAAUCUUUCGGACGCGGGUUCGAGUCCCGCCAUCUCCACCA